rnacentral:rRNA from 1 species
GAUGAACGCUGGCGGCGUGCCUAACACAUGCAAGUCGAGCGAUUCUCUUCGGAGAAGAGCGGCGGACGGGUGAGUAACGCGUGGGUAACCUGCCCUGUACACACGGAUAACAUACCGAAAGGUAUGCUAAUACGAGAUAAUAUACUUUUAUCGCAUGGUAGAAGUAUCAAAGCUCCGGCGGUACAGGAUGGACCCGCGUCUGAUUAGCUAGAUGGUGAGGUAACGGCUCACCAAGGCGACGAUCAGUAGCCGACCUGAGAGGGUGAUCGGCCACAUUGGAACUGAGACACGGUCCAAACUCCUACGGGAGGCAGCAGUGGGGAAUAUUGCACAAUGGGCGAAAGCCUGAUGCAGCAACGCCGCGUGAGCGAUGAAGGCCUUCGGGUCGUAAAGCUCUGUCCUCAAGGAAGAUAAUGACGGUACUUGAGGAGGAAGCCCCGGCUAACUACGUGCCAGCAGCCGCCGUAA